CAAUUUAAAUUACCAAAAUACCCUCAACCGUUUUACUUUCGAUCCCUUCAUGUGAAACACGGGAAUCGCAAAAUCCCUUACCUCCGCCGCUUCACUCACUCUCAAACCCUUCCGAUUCUCAGUUCUUUCCAAUUCCAUUUUUGCGCUCUUUCUCUCUCCUAGGCUCUCCCUCUCUUCGAAAUCGCCGCCGCCGUCUUGCUUCAUCGCAUCAUAAUGUUUCAUCGCCGCCGCCGUCGUUGAGUGAGUCCUGAAUUGAAACCUAACAUCAGAACUCGAAAGGUGAAUCUCUAGGCUUUGUUUGAGAAAUUUUAUUUGUGCGAUUGAAGAAGAGAAUGGGUCAGAUCCCAUACUCAGGCACAUAGUUCUUCCAAAGAAUCUCCUUAACUCUGAGACCCAACUCAAGUUGAACAAGCAGUGUUGCGGUUGCCACCAUUUCCCUUCAAAUCAAAGGAUCAACUCAAUUAAAUAUUUUAGGAUGAAUUUUAUUCAUGUAAGAGUUUUUCUGAGUUUUUCUUUUCUUUUUAUUGUAAUUUGCAUUUCUGAAAUAAUAAUACAAUGAUUCUCAUAUGGUAUGAAAUGGAAAUUGUAAUUCCCUCGAACUCCUGUGCCCACAGAGAUCAAUAUGAGUUGUUAGCUUCAAAAUUUUGAAGGCAUCUUUGUUGUUGAAGACUGUAAGUUCAUUUUACCGGGAAUUUUUUCCUUUCUCUGUGUUGGGGUUUUGCGGUGGCAAAUUACUCUUUCUGAAUUGAG